GACGAACCGUGCGAACGUUGUUCGGAUUCACUGGGCUUAAAGGGCGCGUAGGCGGGCUCGCCAGUCUGUGGUGAAAGCCCCCGGCUCAACCGGGGAAGUGCCGUGGAUACUGCGAGCCUGGAGGAGGGUAGGGGCGUCUGGAACGCUGGGUGGAGCGGUGAAAUGCGUUGAUAUCCAGCGGAACUCCGGUGGCGAAGGCGCACAUCUGGCCCGAUACUGACGCUGAGGCGCGAAAGCUAGGGGAGCAAACGGG
rnacentral:rRNA from 1 species